rnacentral:rRNA from 1 species
AGAUUGAACGCUGGCGGCGUGCCUAACACAUGCAAGUCGAGCGGUAGCAGGUGUAGCAAUACAUGCUGACGAGCGGCGAACGGGUGAGUAAUGCUUCGGAAUCUACCCACGGGUGGGGAAUAACCAACCGAAAGGUUGGCUAAUACCGCAUAAGUCCUACGGGGGAAAGCGGGGGACCGAAAGGCCUCGCGCAGCAGGAUGAGCCGAUGUCCGAUUAGCUGGUUGGUGGGGUAACGGCCCACCAAGGCGACGAUCGGUAGCUGGUCUGAGAGGAUGAUCAGCCACACUGGGACUGAGACACGGCCCAGACUCCUACGGGAGGCAGC